rnacentral:rRNA from 1 species
AGUCCUUCGGGAUGAGUAAAGUGGCGCACGGGUGAGUAACACAUAGGAACGUACCUACGGGUGGGGAAUAACGACGGGAAACUGUCGCUAAUACCGCAUAAUAUCGAGAGAUUAAAGGGGGCGACGCGCAAGCAGCUCUCGCCUGUAGAUCGGCCUAUGUCCCAUUAGCUAGUUGGCGAGGUAAAGGCUCACCAAGGCGACGAUGGGUAGCUGGUCUGAGAGGAUGAUCAGCCACACUGGAACUGAGACACGGUCCAGACUCCUACGGGAGGCAGCAGUGGGGAAUCUUGCACAAUGGGCGAAAGCCUGAUGCAGCAACGCCGCGUGGGUGAUGAAGCCCUUCGGG